ACUAUUUGUUGUCUCUGUUCCUUUCAGCUUGACACUUUACGAUGGCUCUCAUCAGGACCGGUUUCUUCUACAGUUUCAACGGAUGAGUUUCCAAGGAUCCGUUCCCUCGGAAGAAGUCGCCUCCCAGACACCGGCUGUUCAUCUGUCUGGUUGUGUUGCUUCAGUUAGUUUGUUUCGAUUUAUUUCAUUGACUAUUGGCUUCGACAUCACCAAGAAAGAGGAGUAGAUUAGGGUCACAUGGGAGUAUUUGCAAUGUGGACUGCUCUCACUGGCCAAGAUGUUAUAAUGUGAUGGUUAACCCUCUGAGG